UGUUUCGGCUAGGGGGUCAUCCCGACUUACCAACCCGAUGCAAACUACGAAUACCGAAGAAUGUUAUCACGGGAGACACACGGCGGGUGCUAACGUCCGUCGUGAAGAGGGAAACAACCCAGACCGCCAGCUAAGGUCCCAAAGUCAUGGUUAAGUGGGAAACGAUGUGGGAAGGCACAGACAGCCAGGAUGUUGGCUUAGAAGCAGCCAUCAUUUAAAGAAAGCGUAAUAGCUCACUGGUCGAGUCGGCCUGCGCGGAAGAUGUAACGGGGCUAAACCAUGCACCGAAGCUGCGGCAGCGACACUAUGUGUUGUUGGGUAGGGGAGCGUUCUGUAAGCCUGCGAAGGUGACCUGUGAGGGUUGCUGGAGGUAUCAGAAGUGCGAAUGCUGACAUAAGUAACGAUAAAGCGGGUGAAAAGCCCGCUCGCCGGAAGACCAAGGGUUCCUGUCCAACGUUAAUCGGGGCAGGGUGAGUCGACCCCUAAGGCGAGGCCGAAAGGCGUAGUCGAUGGGAAACAGGUUAAUAUUCCUGUACUUGGUGUUACUGCGAAGGGGGGACGGAGAAGGCUAUGUUAGCCGGGCGACGGUUG
rnacentral:rRNA from 2 species